UACGGAGGAUGCGAGCGUUAUCCGGAUUUAUUGGGUUUAAAGGGUGCGUAGGCGGUCCGCUAAGUCAGCGGUAAAAUUGCGGGGCUCAACCCCGUCGAGCCGUUGAAACUGGCAGACUUGAGUUGGCGAGAAGUACGCGGAAUGCGCGGUGCAGCGGUGAAAUGCAUAGAUAUCGCGCAGAACUCCGAUUGCGAAGGCAGCGUACCGGCGCCACACUGACGCUGAGGCACGAAAGCGUGGGGAUCGAACAGG
rnacentral:rRNA from 1 species